rnacentral:rRNA from 1 species
GAUGAACGCUGGCGGCGUGCCUAAUACAUGCAAGUCGAGCGAACAGACGAGGAGCUUGCUCCUUUGACGUUAGCGGCGGACGGGUGAGUAACACGUGGGUAACCUACCUAUAAGACUGGGAUAACUUCGGGAAACCGGAGCUAAUACCGGAUAAUAUUUUGAACCGCAUGGUUCGAUAGUGAAAGAUGGCUUUGCUGUCACUUAUAGAUGGAUCUGCGCCGGAUUAGCUAGUUGGUAAGGUAACGGCUUACCAAGGCAACGAUACGUAGCCGACCUGAGAGGGUGAUCGGCCACACUGGAACUGAGACACGGUCCAGACUCCUACGGGAGGCAGCAGUAGGGAAUCUUCCGCAAUGGGCGAAAGCCUGACGGAGCAACGCCGCGUGAGUGAUGAAGGUCUUCGGAUCGUAAAACUCUGUUAUUAGGGAAGAACAAACGUGUAAGUAACUGUGCACGUCUUGGCGGUACCUAAUCAGAAAGCCACGGCUAACUACGUG